GAUGAACGCUGGCGGCGUGCCUAACACAUGCCAGUCGAGCGGACGGACGAGGCUUUUGCUUGGCUUAUGUUAGGGGCGGGCGGGUGAGUCACACGUGUAUACCCUACUUAUAAGUCUGAUAUCACUUCGAGAAAGCGGAUCUAACACCAGAUGAGAUUUUGAACCGCGGGGUUCAUUGGUGAGAUUCGGUGUUGCUGGCACUAGUCGGGGUUUCCGCGUUGGAUUAGCUAGUUGGUAAGGUAAAGGCUUACCAAGGCUACGAUGCAUAGCCGACCUGAGAGGGUGAUCGGCCAAACUGGAACUGAGACACGGUCCAGACGCCUACGGGAGGCAGCAGUAGGGAAUCUUGCGCAAUGGGCGAAAGCCUGACGGAGCAACGCCGCGUGAGUGAUGAAGGUCUUCGGAUCGUAAAACUCUGUUAUUAGGGAGGAACAUAUGUGUAAGUAACUGUGCACGUUUUGACGGUACCUAAUCAGAAAGCCACGGCUAACUACGUG
rnacentral:rRNA from 1 species